rnacentral:lncRNA from 1 species
GGCUUGUAUGCUCCAAGUGACUGUGUAGGCUGAGUUUACACUGUGUCUGUUCUGACAUAACAAAAUUACAUUGAAAAGGCAUUGGAGAGGCAAAACCGCUUUUAUACUUCAUCAAGAUGCCACCGUGUUACCUGAUAAUCAUGUAUCUCCUGGAUGAAGACGCCAAAGCUUAAAGAAUCCAGAGUCUCACCCAAGGUGAGGAUGGCAGACUGUAACCAUGCCUGAAGUGCUGGCAUGGAAAUCCAACAGGCCUGGCCAAGGUCUGGCUCUGCCAAUAAUUAAUGAGAAGUGUCACUUGACACUUAAUCUAGUUAAAUGCCAAGAUCCUCUAUCCCCCCUUUCCCAUGCAAAAAUACAUUUUGUUUAUUUAUGAGC